rnacentral:rRNA from 1 species
UACGUAGGUGGCAAGCGUUGUCCGGAUUUAUUGGGUUUAAAGGGUGCGUAGGCGGCCCUGUAAGUCAGUGCUGAAAUAUCCCGGCUUAACUGGGAGGGUGGCAUUGAUACUGUGGGGCUAGAGUACAGAUGAGGUAGGCGGAAUUGACGGUGUAGCGGUGAAAUGCUUAGAUAUCGUCAAGAACACCUAUAGCGAAGGCAGCUUACUAGGCUGUAACUGACGCUGAGGCACGAAAGUGUGGGGAUCAAACAGG